UACAUCGGGAGGUUAGCGGCGCAAGGGUGAGUAACACGUGGGCAACCUGCCCGGAAAUGGGGGAUAGCCCGCCGAAAGGCGGAUUAAUACCGCAUGUGACUGGGGACGGCAUCGUCCCUGAGUGAAAGUCGGUGAAAGCUGACGUUUCCGGAUGGGCCCGCGGCCUAUCAGCUAGUUGGUGAGGUAACGGCUCACCAAGGCUAUGACGGGUAGCUGGUCUGAGAGGACGACCAGCCACACUGGAACUGAGACACGGUCCAGACACCUACGGGUGGCAGCAGUCGAGAAUUUUUCUCAAUGGGGGAAACCCUGAAGGAGCGACGCCGCGUGGAGGAUGAAGGUCUUCGGAUUGUAAACUCCUGUCAUGAGGGAGUAAGACAUCGCGUUAACUGCGUGGGUGUUUGAUAGUACCUCAAGAGGAAGAGACGGCUAACUCUGUGCCAGCAGCCGCGGUAAUACAGAGGUCUCGAGCGUUGUUCGGAUUCAUUGGGCGUAAAGGGUGCGUAGGCGGUUGGGU
rnacentral:rRNA from 1 species